rfam:Actinoplanes regularis strain DSM 43151 genome assembly, contig: Ga0170398_161
CUUCAGCGAACCCAGCCACAACGGCUGCUCCGCGGGGCGCUGACCGUAGGUGGCCAGCAAUGCCUGCGCCUC